rnacentral:rRNA from 2 species
UCUAGUGUCUAUACUUGAUUGGAAACACUUCAAUCCUUUUCGAAUUUGAAAGUUCAACAAUCAAGGGGUUUUUUGUGUACUGCAAGGGCUGCUUUGUGGGAAAAAACACCUGAUGCUAGGGG